rnacentral:misc_RNA from 1 species
UGGAGCUGAAGCGCGCCGUGUC